rnacentral:lncRNA from 1 species
AAAAUAAAAAUAAAAAGUAAUAGAUACCAAAGUAUUAGAAAGGACUGAGAAAACAGAAAAUAUUGAAGCAAUCUUCUCUGGUAAUCCCACGAGUGAGUUUGGAGAGGGUAGAGUGUACGCAAAGAAGCCCCUACACAAGGUAGAUAGAGAGGUUGCUUCCAAAAGACACUUAGCUAAAGUGCAGCAAAUCAAAGUACGUAAGAAAACAGAAAUAUGACAGAGGAGAAGACAGAUCAAUUCAAACGGAAAGCAGUACAGGGCGUCCAGAAAAAGAACAGUAACAACAAAGAAAAUAAUGCGGUAACUGGAAGACAAAAGGCGACAAAUGGUAAUAGCUAUCAAAAGCAAUAGCCAGUUAUAGUAAUACCCCAGAGGAGAACGUGGAGCAUCUACGUAGAAUCUUCCAUUCCUUUACUUCUACUAAUCAUAGAAUAAAUGACUAGAAUUACUAAUGUUCCUUCCAUUUAAACAAAAGCACUGUAUCCUAAUCCAACAGAUCUGGCUCUAUAGAUCUUACAAAGAAGAGCAUGCUGCUAAGAUUAGUCAUGUUUUUUCAAACUUCUCACAAAAUGAUCCAUGCAUAUUUGCACUCCAAUACGGAGGGAUUGACAUAGCAAAGGAGGCUAAACAAAAGCUAUCAAAGGGAUGUGCCCAGGCUCGGAAUAUCCUUCUUUCAUACCCAAGAGUAGCCCUAUUUCUACAACAACAACAACAUACCCGGUGUAAUCCCACAAGUGGGUUUGGGGAGGGUAGAGUGUACGCAAACCUUAAUUCUACCUUGGGAGGUAGAGUCUGUUUUCGAUAGAAUAGCCCUAUUUUUUAUAGGAGCAAUUCAAGCAUUAAUCAGUACUACCUCAGACCUCAGGACUUUGUUUUGCUAUUGUACCUUCAGCAUCUGACUUUAUUUGACCUUCUUACAUAUCUGUGCAAUGCAGUGCACUUGACUACUUCCACUCCAAAUAAGAAAUUUACUUAAGAAUUCAAAAUGACAUAGAGGUAAUACCAAUCUACACAUUCAUCUUUAUGAUUCAUGUUUUUGAAAAUCUGCCCCAUGUCUACCACAACAACAACAUACCCCGUGUAAUCCCACAAGUGCGCGCAGUUUGGGGAGGUAGAGUGUACACAGACCUUAGCCCUACUUUGGGAAGCAGAGAGGCUGUAUCUGAUAGACCCUCGGGAAACUGUCUAUACAUUCUAAUUAUUACAGUAAACACCUCAGUUUUUUCUUGGUUCUCACUGAAAACGAAGUCUAAUCAUUGGGACAGAGGAGAGCAACAAACACAACUCUGAACUUUUAAGUAGAUUCACUUCUUUUGUAUUAGAGACAUAAUUUAAAGGCUCCUCCUCAUGAAAUAGCAGGUAGUUCGUCAGGUGUAACUCCCUGAGCUGCUAUUUUUCUUAUUCAAUUGUUGAUAGCUAACAACUCUAUGAUUAUCUCUUCUUAAAAGAUUCAAGGAUCGGCUGGUGGGAGUCAGUAAGUCCAUUUAUCACCAAUUCACAAAACCCUUUUUUUUUUUGGGUCAAGACAGAGAUGUAUUUCUUCUACCUUGGGUUGAAUAUCCUUUGGUUCAGUGCCAAAUUGCAAGGUUGACUACUUCAACUUCAUUAAAUCAUGGUACAGUUCACCAGAGAGCUUUAGCUUCCUAUUAAUUAGUUGAGCACAGUAUGUUAAAUGUCUUGCUGCAACCAAAAAAAGUAAUGGCUUCCUAUUUGCACAAAUUUUCAUUCUACUACCACAUACCCACAUAUUCUUCAGAGAUGAUCUUGUUGCCACAAACAUGUGCCACCUAGGGAUGUAGUUAUCCAGGGAUGAGAUCCACCAUCUUUCACGAGCUUCUUGGAUGACGAUUGUGGUAAUCCUGUAGCCUACAACAUAAAACUACUGAACAUAUAUCAUGUGAAGUACAAACUAGGUCUCGGGUUUUGUUUAAGAAAGAAAGAGAAAUGGUGUAAUUACACAAGAAGAGCUUCCUACAAGGAAGAAAUCUCUGUUCGUGAUUUUAAAAACAAUUACGAUCUUACUAACAAAUUUCAUACUAGUUUUGAGAAAAACAGAUAUACAUGGCUAUCAUUGGAAACGUUAAAUUACACUAUCAUUAAGGGGAAAAAGUUAAGGUAAAAAAAAAAUAAGUUAAGAGGUUACAUCUCCCUUUCCAUAUUUAACUGCCUUCCUGAUGGAAUGUCCUGCUGCAUAAACAAGUUCCCUUUCUGUUCACUGUACAAUUUCUACAGAAAAUUUACAGGAGACUGUUAAAUAAACUUCUUUAAGAUGGAGAAAUCCCUACAUACCUUGUUUUCUUCGGUGAGCACCUAACAAAUCCAGUUUACCAUAUAAUAAUGUACUGAACAGACGAAGAAAGAUCCAUUUAUUUGACAUCAAUUCUGUUUGUGAUCACCACAAGUUACCUCAUACAAAACCUGCAAGGACAAUAUACA